rnacentral:lncRNA from 1 species
AGAUCAUGGCAGAACUGUCACAGAUGUUACUUUGUGAAAACACAAAGAAUAAUGUGUUUGGAGAGAUCAGUCUUCAAUUAGCUAUAUUUUCUAGGAGCCUACCUUUACUUAGCCUCACAACAUGGGCCUUAGCUUUAGCACUUAAUCUGCACAAAUACCUGGCUUAAGUGUUAUGACUGACUGGCUAUUCAACCAAACCAUACAAAUGACCAAUUCGGUAAGAAAGCAUGAACUUCAGUGUUGAACCAAAUCAACCAACCUCCUCAAUCCAAAUGGAGAGGAUAACAAAGGAAGCUGAGGAAGUCUGUUCUGGAGGCACCAUGACAAAGCACCAGACAGAAAGCAGUCACGUGUGGGGAGAUGAGCAGAGACACCACUUCUCAAGCACCUGAUUAUUCUUUCUCAGUAUUUAGAAGCAAAAAUUAUCCUUAAGAAAAACAACCGCAAACGCAACACAGGCUACACAGAUGAGAAAAUGGGAUUUCAAGAGAGAAGGCUGAAAAGGAAGGUGACUGGAAUAUUAAGAACUGUGAGAUAUUCUGAGGAAACUCUAAUUUGUAAAUUGGUAGAAAUGCCAGUAAUUUGUUGGGAAUUGAAGACCCUCUGUAUUCAAGAGCGAAGCUUGGCAGCUGUGCACUGUUGUUUUAUAAAUCAAUAUUACAUCUGAA